rnacentral:rRNA from 1 species
CCUAAAAUUUAGCCUUAAGUUAUUGUAUAAAUCUUAGUCUUAAAUUUUAUUUAAUAAAACAUUUUAACCCCUUAAGUAAAGGUGAUUGAAAAAGCUCUAAGCGCUAUAGAAAUAGUACCGCGAGGGAAAAAUGAAAUAAUAAUGAAACAACUAAAGCUAACUACAGCAGAGAACUUACCUCGUACCUUUUGCAUCAUGGCCCAGCAAGACUUAACAAGCGAAAUGAAAUUUAAGUUUUAGACCCCGAACCUAGGCGAGCUACUUAAGACCAGCCUAUUGGGCUAACCCGUCUCUGUGGCAAUAGAGUGGGGAGAGUUUUAAGUAGAAGUGAAAAUCCUAUCGAGCCUAGAAAUAGCUGGUUAUUCAUGAAAAGAAUAUAAGUUCUGCCUUAAGUUUUAUUAAUGAUGCCUCAUCAACACCCCUAACUUAAGAGUUAUUUAAAUAAGGAACAGCUUAUUUAAGACAGGACACAACCUAAACAAUAGGGUAAAAUCUUAAUUACUACCAAGUGGGCCUGAAAGCAGCCACCUUUUAAAAAGCGUCACAGCUUGACCUUAACCCCUAAAAUACCACCAACCCAAAUGAACCCUUAAUUUAUAAUGAAUGACUCCAUACAAAUAUGGAAGACACCAUGCUGAGAUUAGUAACAAGAAUAAAUAAUUCUCCUAAAUGCAAGUAUAAACCAACAUGGAUAAACCAUUGGUGAUUACCGAACCUAAGUUUUCUACAACAACACUCACAAGAAAACCCUGUAGCACCCACUCGUUAACCUAACACUAGCGCAUUUCAGGAAAGAUUAAAAAAAAGAGAAGGAAUUCGGCAAAUAACGACCCCGCCUGUUUACCAAAAACAUCGCCUCUUGAUUUAAAAUAAGAGGUCCAGCCUGCCCAGUGAAUUUUUAACGGCCGCGGUAUCCUAACCGCGCGAAGGUAGCAUAAUCAUUUGUUCUUUAAAUGGGGACUCGUAUCAACGGCAUCACGAGGGUUUUACUGUCUCCUCCUUUUAAUCAGUGAAAUUGAUCUUCCCGUGAAGAAGCGGGAAUGCCUGUAUAAGACGAGAAGACCCCAUGGGAGCUUUAAACCAAAUAGUAACUUAACCACAUAACCCCUAAUAAUUUGGAGUUUAUGCUAUAAGGUUUUCGGUUGGGGUGACCGCGGAGUAAAACAUAUCCUCCACGAGGAAAAGGCCACAAUCUUUAUUUAAGAAUUACAAUUCUAGAAAUUAGUAUACUAACGUUUACUGACCCGAUAAUCGAUCAACGGACCAAGUUACCCUGGGGAUAACAGCCCAAUCUACUUCAAGAGCCCAUAUGGACAAGUAGGCUUACGACCUCGAUGUUGGAUCAGGGUAUCCCAGUGGUGCAGCCGCUACUAAAGGUUCGUUUGUUCAACGAUUAAAAC